rnacentral:rRNA from 1 species
GACGAACGCUGGCGGCGUGCUUAACACAUGCAAGUCGAACGGAAAGGCCCUGCUUUUGUGGGGUGCUCGAGUGGCGAACGGGUGAGUAACACGUGAGUAACCUGCCCUUGACUUUGGGAUAACUUCAGGAAACUGGGGCUAAUACCGGAUAGGAGCUCCUGCUGCAUGGUGGGGGUUGGAAAGUUUCGGCGGUUGGGGAUGGACUCGCGGCUUAUCAGCUUGUUGGUGGGGUAGUGGCUUACCAAGGCUUUGACGGGUAGCCGGCCUGAGAGGGUGACCGGCCACAUUGGGACGGAGAUACGGCCCAGACUCCUACGGGAGGCAGCAGUGGGGAAUAUUGCACAAUGGGCGGAAGCCUGAUGCAGCAACGCCGCGUGCGGGAUGACGGCCUUCGGGUUGUAAACCGCUUUCGCCUGUGACGAAGCGUGAGUGACGGUAAUGGGGAAAGAAGCACCGGCGAACUACGU